UACGGAGGGAGCUAGCGUUGUUCGGAAUUACUGGGCGUAAAGGGCGCGUAGGCGGCGUGUCAAGUCAGGCGUGAAAGCCCCGGGCUCAACCUGGGAACCGCGCUUGAGACUGGCAUGCUCGAGUUCGGGAGAGGAUGGUGGAAUUCCCAGUGUAGAGGUGAAAUUCGUAGAUAUUGGGAAGAACACCGAUGGCGAAGGCAGCCAUCUGGACCGACACUGACGCUGAGGCGCGAAAGCGUGGGGAGCAAACAGG
rnacentral:rRNA from 1 species